rnacentral:rRNA from 1 species
GAUGAACGCUGGCGGCGUGCCUAAUACAUGCAAGUCGAGCGAACAGACGAGGAGCUUGCUCCUCUGACGUUAGCGGCGGACGGGUGAGUAACACGUGGAUAACCUACCUAUAAGACUGGGAUAACUUCGGGAAACCGGAGCUAAUACCGGAUAAUAUAUUGAACCGCAUGGUUCAAUAGUGAAAGACGGUUUUGCUGUCACGUAUAGAUGGAUCCGCGCCGCAUUAGCUAGUUGGUAAGGUAACGGCUUACCAAGGCGACGAUGCGUAGCCGACCUGAGAGGGUGGUCGGCCACACUGGAACUUAGACACGGACCAGACUCCUACGGGAGGCAGCAGUAGGGAAUCUUCCGCAGAGGGCGAAAGCCUGACGGAACAACGCCGCGUGAGUGAUGAAGGUCUUCGGAUCGUAAAGCUCUGUUAUUAGGGAAGAACAAAUGUGUAAGUAACUAUGCACGUCUUGACGGUACCUAAUCAGAAAGCCACGGCUAACUACGUG